AAAAGGAUACCUAGCUUUAAGGAAAGAAGAAAGACUUGCAGGAACGAUUUGACUGAUAUAAUAUGAAUCAUUGUACAAAAGGGUCCAAGCAUCCAAGGACAAAAGAGCUUGCAGGACGGUUUGACUGAUAUAAUAUGAUCCAUUAUACAACAGGGGCCGAGUAUCCAAGGCUUACUGCUGCGAAUGAGUAAAAUAAAAUGUACUCCACAUUGCAAGAUAAAUAGGAAGUCGUGCAGAUUUAAAAUGAAGAGCAGUAAAACAACUAAUAAUGGAAACUAUAACAGGUCAAUAGCACUAUGUUAUAUCCAUGUCACUCGUCAAACUCAUGCAAGUGAUCUAAUAGAUAGUUAGCAGCCAGCUCCUCAUUUUUGUUGCAGGCGAAGUAUACUUCCAAUACUAAAGCUCGAUCAAACCCCAUAGCUUCAAGACGUUCAAUAGCCUCCCGCUCUUCAGGUGUAACAGUCACAGCUUGUGGUAUUGCACCUGCUGUCUGCCCUAACACAUUCCCCUCUCCUUCAACAGGUUCAUUAAUGAGGCGCAGGAAGUCCGGUUGAUGUUCUUGAAUAAGCCGCAUCAAAUGUGGAUUUUGCUUACCCAACUCCUGG
rnacentral:misc_RNA from 1 species